AACGGCCAUACCAUGCUGAAUAUACCGUUUCUCGUUAGAUCACCGAAGUCAAGCAUCAUUGGCCGAGGUCAGUGCUUGGGUGGGUGACUUCCUGGGAACACCGCGUGCCGUU